rnacentral:rRNA from 1 species
UACGGAGGGGGCUAGCGUUGUCCGGAAUUAUUGGGCGUAAAGCGCGCGCAGGUGGUUUCUUAAGUCUGAUGUGAAAGCCCACGGCUCAACCGUGGAGGGUCAUUGGAAACUGGGGAACUUGAGUGCAGAAGAGGAAAGUGGAAUUCCAAGUGUAGCGGUGAAAUGCGUAGAGAUUUGGAGGAACACCAGUGGCGAAGGCGACUUUCUGGUCUGUAACUGACACUGAGGCGCGAAAGGCCAGGGGAGCAAACGGG